AUGAAGUGUUCUCCAGGCUUCGUGACUAUGGUACUCUUAAUGCUUGGACAAACCCAUGGAGACUCAGUGACCCAGAUGGAAGGCCAAGUGACCCUCUUAGAAAAGGCUUCCCUGACUAUAAACUGUACUUACUCUACAACUGGGUAUCCCACUCUCUUCUGGUAUGUCCAGUAUCCAGGAGAAGGUCCACACCUCCUCCUGAGCUCCUUGAGGGACCAGGGAAAGAAAAGCAAGAAAGGUUUUGAAGCCACCUUGGACAGCAAACCCAAAUACUUCCACUUGGAGAAAGGCUCAGUGCAAGCGUCAGAUUCAGCUGUGUAUUACUGUGCCCUGCAUGACGCAGUGACGGGGACUGCAGGGGCAGCUGAGCACAAACUCUGA